rnacentral:rRNA from 1 species
UACGUAGGCAGCAAGCGUUAUUCGGAAUUAUUGGGCGUAAAGGGCGCGUAGGCGGCUUGGCAAGUGGAUGGUGAAAUCCCUCGGCUUAACCGAGGAACUGCCGUCCAAACUGCUUCGCUUGAGACCGGGAGAGGUGAGUGGAAUUCCCAGUGUAGCGGUGAAAUGCGUAGAUAUUGGGAGGAACACCAGUGGCGAAGGCGGCUCACUGGACCGGUACUGACGCUGAUGCGCGAAAGCGUGGGGAGCAAACGGG